CCUCUAGCAGCCACAGCCACAAUGACUCCACUGGUUCUUCUUUGUUUCCUCAUAUUUUGUUUUCAGGACUCAAGAUGUCAGAUUUCUGUGACUCAACCAUCAGCACCAAAGUCAGUUCCCCCUGGAGGGAGCGUCACCUUCAGCUGUACCACUGGGAGUAAUGUGGGUAGCUCCAUGUACUGGUACCAGCAGAGACCUGGAGAACGUCCUAAACUCCUAAUCUAUAGUGCAAGCACUCGCUAUGGUGACACCCCGAGUCGCUUCAGUGGCAGCGGGUCAGGAACUUCAUUCAGUUUGACUAUCAGUGGAGUCCAGCCUGAAGACGCCGGUCACUACUACUGUCAGCAGUAUAGCAGCUAUCCUAUCACACAGUGACAGAGACUCAUGCAAAAACCUCACUGAGUUGUUUUCAUGUCUGCAGGUGUGAAACUAAAAGA